CCAAUAGCGUAUAUUAAAGUUGUUGCAGUUAAAAAGCUCGUAGUUGAAUUUCGGGAUCAAUAUAUCGGUCGUGCCUUGGUACGUACUGGUAUCAUUGGUUUCUCCCUUCUGACGAACCAUGAUGUCAUUAAUUUGGUGUCUUGGGGAAUCAGGACUGUUACUUUGAAAAAAUUAGAGUGUUUAAAGCAGGCUCACGCUUGAAUACAUUAGCAUGGAAUAAUGAAAUAGGACGUUUGAUUCUAUUUUGUUGGUUUCUAGGAUCGACGUAAUGAUUAAUAGGGAUAGUUGGGGGCAUUAGUAUUCAAUUGUCAGAGGUGAAAUUCUUGGAUUUAUUGAAGACUAACUACUGCGAAAGCAUUUGCCAAGGAUGUUUUCAUUAAUCAAGAACGAAAGUUAGGGGAUCGAAGACGAUCAGAUACCGUCGUAGUCUUAACCAUAAACUAUGCCGACUAGGGAUCGGAUGAUGUUAAUUUUUUAAUGACUCAUUCGGCGCCUUACG
rnacentral:misc_RNA from 1 species